CCUACGGGCCGCACCAGUGGGGAAUAUUGCACAAUGGGCGCAAGCCUGAUGCAGCCAUGCCGCGUGUGUGAAGAAGGCCUUCGGGUUGUAAAGUACUUUCAGCGGGGAGGAAGGCGAUAAGGUUAAUAACCUUGUCGAUUGACGUUACCCGCAGAAGAAGCACCGGCUAACUCCGUGCCAGCAGCCGCGGUAAUACGGAGGGUGCAAGCGUUAAUCGGAAUUACUGGGCGUAAAGCGCACGCAGGCGGUCUGUCAAGUCGGAUGUGAAAUCCCCGGGCUUAACCUGGGAACUGCAUUCGAAACUGGCAGGCUAGAGUCUUGUAGAGGGGGGUAGAAUUCCAGGUGUAGCGAUGAAAUGCGUAGAGAUCUGGAGGAAUACCGGUGGCGAAGGCGGCCCCCUGGACAAGGACUGACGCUCAGGUGCGAAAGCGUGGGGAGCAAACAGGAUUAGAUACCCUCGUAGUC
rnacentral:rRNA from 1 species